AAACAAUGGAGUGAACAAAAAUGGUGCAACAAAAUAUGGAGACAGACAAUACAAGAGAACACACCUCUUAUUGGAACGACUAAUAUUAGUGCUGCAGUGAUAAGCUCAGAGAGUUGAGUUGAAUAAUGUCUGUGUGUAUGUCUUCCAUUGCCUUCGGGUGGCCAAGAUGGGCCCAACAGAACAAUAGCCAUUCCAUUGAUGCAGUGUGAGCAAAACUAUUUCCUUCUUUCUAAUUGUAUAAUGACUGUAUGUUAAGUACAAUAUUAUGCAGAGGUGUUAUUCCUCAUUAAAAUACACAUGACGUUUUUCUUUUAAUGUGGAUCAGAUCAAUUUUUCUCCAUAGUUUCCUAUGAGGAAGAAAAAAAAAAGGGUUGCGAAAUAUUAACCGAGACCACCAUAGCAAGUCAGGACGUGAAACAUAGCACACAGAGUUGACAAUGUCACACUAAUGUCCCAUGCGAGCCGUCCUCUUGCCACAUGCCAUCAACGCCGCGCAACUCUCACCGCAUCCAAAUAGGGCCAAUUUGCGUGCGAUUCUAUUCUCGGCUUUCCACAUACCUCUCAGUGGCACUCUCGCUUGCUUUAUAAGAGCGCUGCAGCCUGGGCGCUGGUUUGGCACAAGACUUCCCAGAGCAGGACAUGUAAAAGGCACAAAUAAUAGCCAGUGUCCUCCAUGGCCUUGCUUCAUGAUGAUGAUGAUGAUGAUGAUGUAUGGAAUACACAACUUAAUGAUAAGAGCCACACACUGCAGGCUCAGGAGCACAAAUGAUGGAGCCCUACGAAGUCUGGCAGGUAACAAAGGACUACGAAACCAGACCGGGGAUAGAUUUGAAAACAGAAAUUUUCCACCUCAGAAUACGUUGCAUUUUUUCAUCCCUUCUAUCUUCUAAUCAAAUGAUACUUAUUGGAAGGUGACGGCAUCGCGGCACCAACGCUCACCUGGCUUUGAUCUUCUCGUCAUCGUAGCUGAAAAGAACACAUCAGCAUUGAGGGAGGCUCUUGUGGAUUUUAAUUGAUGUGUCGCACACUGGUGCCAUGGCAUGGGAGGGGAGGGGAGGCUACUCACUGCAGCACGCACUCGGGAACCUGCACGUGCUCCAUGGGGAUAAGCACGCUCAGCUCGUCCAGCGUGUGCACGUAGCGGAUCUUAUCCAGGAACUUCAUGCUGCAGCGCGGAAGUUAAGCAUGCAAAGAAAAUGCCAUCAAUGAUUCUAAUUAUUUUUGGGGAAACUGAUGAAUAUUUUUUGAACAUUUCAAACCCUGUCACAUGUUAUUCUCCAAAUAUUUUCUUUUUUUUCUCCCCCCCUUCAGGAUCCUCAAAAUUCACAUUUCCCAAACUGGAUCCGUUAUAUGAUGAACACAAUAAGAGAAAAACAUGCUUAUCCUUUCACUUAGAAAAGGUCGCCGACCUGAUGAAAGGUCUGGAGAUGGCCAGGAUGGUCCGGAUGAACCAUGUCGGGUGAACAA